CCCAGGAUAAAGAUGAUGAUGGCCACAGCACAGCCUCUGUUAGGGGAGGGAAGACAUCACUCACAUCUCACGUAGCAACCACUCCUACAUCCACUGGUAGCACUGCGUUUUAAGUGCUCAGAUGAACGAUAUGGAAACAGCAGAGGGAACACCCCCCUAUCCACAUCGAUGGAACAGUAGUGG